AAUUAAAAAUUUUAUCUAUUUGUACUAUUAAAAAUUAGUGUGUUUGAGAGAAUAAUUAGACAAUAAUAUGUGACGUAUCACAUGUAUGUCAUGUUGACAUACAACGACUAACUUUUAAUAGUAUAAAUAGACAAAAAAAAUUAACA
rnacentral:pre_miRNA from 1 species